UGUCGCCUACGGGACGCAGCAGUGAGGAAUAUUGGUCAAUGGGCGCGAGCCUGAACCAGCCAAGUCGCGUGAGGGAAGACGGUCCUAUGGAUUGUAAACCUCUUUUGUCGGGGAGCAAAAGACGCCACGCGUGGCGUUCCGAGAGUACCCGAAGAAAAAGCAUCGGCUAACUCCGUGCCAGCAGCCGCGGUAAUACGGAGGAUGCGAGCGUUAUCCGGAUUUAUUGGGUUUAAUGGGUGCGCAGGCGGAAGAUCAAGUCAGCGGUAAAAUUGAGAG
rnacentral:rRNA from 1 species